rnacentral:rRNA from 1 species
AGCAGCCGCGGUAAUUCCAGCUCCAAUAGCGUAUAUUAAAGUUGUUGCAGUUAAAAAGCUCGUAGUUGAAUUUCGGGAUCAGUGCGCUGGUCGUGCCUUGUGUAUGUACUGGUGCUACUGGUUCCUACCUUCUGACGAACCGUCAUGUCAUUAAUUUGGUGUGGCGGGGAAUCAGGACUGUUACUUUGAAAAAAUUGAGUGUUUAAAGCAGGCUCGCGCUUGAAUACAUUAGCAUGGAAUAAUGAAAUAGGACGUUCGAUCCUAUUUUGUGGUUUCUAGGAUUGACGUAAUGAUUAAUAGGGAUAGGUUGGGGGCAUUAGUAUUCAAUUGUCAGAGGUGUAAAUUCUUAGGAUUUAUUGAAGACUAACUACUGCGUAAAGCA